UCCCUGAUAGCUCAGUUGGUAAAGAAUCUGCCUGCAAUGCAGGAGGCCCGGGUUCGAUUCCUGGGUCGGGAA
rnacentral:tRNA from 1 species